GGGCGUAUAGCUCAGACGGUUAGAGCGCAUCCCUGAUAAGGAUGAGGUCCGUGGUUCAAGUCCACGUACGCCCA
rnacentral:tRNA from 1 species